rnacentral:rRNA from 1 species
GACGAACGCUGGCGGCGCGCUUAACACAUGCAAGUCGAACGGAAAGGCCCCUUUGGGGGUACUCGAGUGGCGAACGGGUGAGUAACACGUGAGUAACCUGCCCUUGACUUCGGGAUAACUUCAGGAAACUGGGGCUAAUACCGGAUAGGAAUCCUUGCUGCAUGGUGGGGGUUGGAAAGCUUCGGCGGUUUUGGAUGGACUCGCGGCUUAUCAGCUUGUUGGUGGGGUAGUGGCUUACCAAGGCUUUGACGGGUAGCCGGCCUGAGAGGGCGACCGGCCACAUUGGGACUGAGAUACGGCCCAGACUCCUACGGGAGGCAGCAGUGGGGAAUAUUGCACAAUGGGCGGAAGCCUGAUGCAGCAACGCCGCGUGCGGGAUGACGGCCUUCGGGUUGUAAACCGCUUUCAGCAGGGGCGAAGCUUGUGGUGACGGUACCUGCAGAAGAAGCACCGGCUAACUACGUG